GGAGGGGGCUAGCGUUGUUCGGAAUUAUUGGGCGUAAAGGGCGCGUAGGCGGCUUGGUAAGUCAGGCGUGAAAUCCCGCGGCUCAACCGCGGAACUGCGUUUGAAACUGCCGGGCUUGAGCCCCGGAGAGGGUAGCGGAAUUCCCAGUGUAGCGGUGAAAUGCGUAGAUAUUGGGAGGAACACCAGUGGCGAAGGCGGCUACCUGGACGGGUACUGACGCUGAGGCGCGAAAGCGUGGGGAGCAAACAGGAUUAGAUACCCUGGUAGUCCACGCUGUAAACGAUGGGCACUUGGUGUUGCGGGUAUCGACCCCCCCUGCAGUGCCCGAAGCUAACGCAUUAAGUGCCCCCGCCUGGGGGAGUACGGUCGCAAGGCUG
rnacentral:rRNA from 1 species